AUGGACGCGGCGGCGAGGGGCGACGGCGGGGAGGCGGUGAGGCGGGCGGUCGCGGAGAGCCCCGUGCUGGUGGUGGGGAGGCGCGGGUGCUGCCUCAGCCACGUGGUGAAGCGGCUGCUGCAGGGGCUCGGGGUGAACCCCGCCGUGCACGAGGUCGCCGACGAGGCCGAGCUCGCCGCGGCGGUGACCGGGGACGCCGGCGGCGAGGCCGUCGUCGCGCUGCCGGCCGUGUUUGUGGGUGGGCGGCUCCUCGGCGGGCUCGACCGUCUCAUGGCCGUGCACAUCUCCGGCGAGCUGGUGCCCAUACUCAAGGACGCCGGCGCGCUCUGGCUCUGA
rnacentral:rRNA from 1 species